rnacentral:sRNA from 1 species
UCAUUUGGGUGAAUCAUAAAAACAAUGUUCACAUUCUAAGAACUGACGAUGGCUCUAAUUGUGUGUGUGUGUGUGAAAAAUUUUCGACGCCGCCGUUCAUACUGCGAGACAUCACUUUGCACUACAUGACUGCUGAAACAAAAACAAUACACGCAGCUCGAAAGCAAUAUAUACAGGUAUUCGGUGAAGAUUUACAAAAAAAUUGUUCCUCGGUCACAAACCUGGCUUAGUAUGCCUGAAUAAAUAUAUCUACCAACCGGCUGUCGCGGCCACAUGCGUUUAAUAUUUCGGUUUCGUAUAUUUUGCGCUGUUUAGCUUAAGGUAAGAUGAUUCUGGAUCGCCCAUCCACUGCAAAGAGUUUGUGCCGCAUAAAGAUACGACUUGCAAAAACAAAAUAAUAAACAUUUGCUCCAGCUUAUAUGUAUUUAUGUAUAUGUACCUAUUUCCAUCUCGUGACCGAGGGUGAAAUCGCGUCGCCGUAUCAUCCAUAAGUUAUGGCUGUGUGCCCACCUUAUCUCAUCAGCCUGCUGUAUAUCACCACACAUUCACUUGCAGACAAUUCAUUGGAAGAUAGCAUAAAAAACCAGUGGAAAAGUCCUAAGUGCGGUAAGUCUUCCUUUUUUAUCAAACAAAGACUAUAAGUGAAUUCGGUCAUUGAGGUAACAGUGUGUGCAUGUGUGCCAAUGUUAUAAAGGCACUAUUGCCAUUUGUAGUCAUGGACCAAAAAACUAUGUAGCAAAAAUUAUAAACAAAGAUAGAACUGAGGCCAGAAGUUUAUAUGGAAGAUGGUGAACAUCUUUUAAUGCCUUAAAAAAAAAAAAUAACAACGCCAUGUCUGUUAAAAAAUUAUCAUAACUAUUAGAUGCAAUUUGGCGAAGCAGAAACAAAGUAGCAUAUUAUUAAAUGUCGCCGUUGGGAUUCAGAUCUAGUCUUCACUAAAAUAUUAUCGCGGAACUAUACCCAUGACUUAUCAAUAAAAUAACUGCUUAUAUUAUUAUUUUGAAAUUACCGAUAUAUCCUAACAUUUUAACUUUGAUUCAUACCGAUCCAUUUCUUGGGGUGUCUGGAUAAUUAUAUCUCAUUUACCACUGAUUGUGUUUAUUUUUUUGUUUUGUAUCAUUCGGAACCAAAAAGAAUUAUAUUUGUCUAAAAGUGUUGUUUCCUAGUGGAAGAGUGUUUGGCGUAAGAUGGUCAUAAUAUCAUAAAAGUUUGUGUGUUUACAAAUGUAAUUUUGUAAUUUGUAAUUUAUUUAUUUACACCCGCACAACAAGAAUAUAAAAUUCUUAUAAUUAAAGUGCGGGUAAUAUCUCCAACAAUUGUACAUAGUAAACACUUAGAACUAAG